CGACCGCUGGCGGCGUGCCUACCACAUGCACGUCGAACGGAACUGUUUUGAAAGAUUUCUUCGGAAUGAAUUUGAUUUAGUUUAGUGGCGGACGGGUGAGUAACGCGUGAGUAACCUGCCUUCAAGAGGGGAAUAACAUUCUGAAAAGAAUGCUAAUACCGCAUGACAUAUCGGAACCACAUGGUUUUGAUAUCAAAGAUUUUAUCGCUUGAAGAUGGACUCGCGUCCGAUUAGUUAGUUGGUGAGGUAACGGCUCACCAAGACCGCGAUCGGUAGCCGGACUGAGAGGUUGAACGGCCACAUUGGGACUGAGACACGGCCCAGACUCCUACGGGAGGCAGCAGUGGGGGAUAUUGCGCAAUGGGGGCAACCCUGACGCAGCAACGCCGCGUGAAGGAUGAAGGUUUUCGGAUUGUAAACUUCUUUUAUUAAGGACGAAAAAUGACGGUACUUAAUGAAUAAGCUCCGGCUAACUACGUG
rnacentral:rRNA from 1 species